AUACGGAGGAUGCGAGCGUUAUCCGGAAUCAUUGGGUUUAAAGGGUGCGUAGGCGGCCUUUCAAGCCCGGGGUGAAAAUCUGGGGCCCAACCCCAGACCUGCCUCGGGAACUGGCUGGCUGGAGUACGCUUGCCGCGGAAGGAAUGAGUGGGGUAGCGGUGAAAUGCAUAGAUAUCACUCAGAACACCGAUUGCGAAGGCAUCCCGCGAAGGCGCGACUGACGCUGAGGCACGAAAGCGUGGGGAUCGAACAGGAUUAGAUACCCUGGUAGUCCACGCAGUAAACGAUGAUAGCUAGCCGUUGGCCCGUCAGAGUGGUCAGUGGCCGAGCGAAAGCGAUAAGCUAUCCACCUGGGGAGUACGGCCGCAAGGCUGAAACUCAAAUGAAUUGACGGGG
rnacentral:rRNA from 1 species